UUUUUUAUUUUUUGUUUUUUUUUUCUUUUUUCAAAGCAUUAAUUGUUGGAAAAAUUCUUAGGCAGGCAAUUGCCUACUACAUCACCGAUAGACUAACCAAAUAAUUUGAUGCCAUGACAUCAAAUCAUUGAAUUAGUCUAUUGCUUGGCAUCAAAUUAUUGAGUUAGUCUUUUGCUGAUGUAAUGGGCAAUCGCCUACCCCUUGAAUUUCUCCAAUUGUUGAUUAGUAAUCUUCUUUUCCAAGUACCUUAUCAAUGAGUCAAAUCUAUACAAAUGAUGGAAUUGGGUAAUUAAUUAUACUUUAGGAUAUAUAGCAAUAUUUGUUUUACUCAAUGCAAUAGUAACUUUGAUACUACUAAUAAAUGAUAACAUUUACUAUUUUGCCUAGGAAGAUGAGUGUAAAAUUAAAAAAAAUUAAUUGAUACACCUUAAUUUUUUCAAAAUGACAAAUAAUUUUAGGCAAAAUCCUCUUUUAUCUUUUCACUCAUGAAAACUUAAAACCAUAUGUGAUUUUGGAACCUUAUUAUUAUGGGUAAAUAUCAUAUAUGGUUACUUAAUUUUAUGAGUAUUUAUAUAA
rnacentral:misc_RNA from 1 species